CCAGCUGUCAUCCGAGGCAGAGUUAUUAUGUACCGUGAAAGUACAUAAAACAUAACUGCCUUGAAUGACAGUCAGAUGUAAAUAAAGUAUAAAUAAAAAUCUGUACCCUGCAGGUGUAUUUUCUGCAGAAUAAUCAUUAAAUAUUUAAUUAUCCAGACUACAUUUACAUCGAAUAAUAUUUGGGCUGCAUUUGUCGCCCUUUCCGAAGUGGCACUUUUCGGUUUGCUUCUGACACAUCCGGUGAAGGUAUAUAAAGCAAAACAGCGAUGGGUGGAAUCCUCCAAGUGGCACUGCAGAACGAGAAUUUCUGGAUUUUCAGUAAGGUCUUGCGGUCCAGAACGUACCUCAUCGUCCGAAGUUUAGAAGACCAGGAAAUUUUCAGAAUGUAUCCGCUACUUAUGCCGAUGCCGCACUGUUUUUUCGGUCCUGAAUUGUCUUUGCGUUAAGUGGCCUUGAUGGCCAGGAGUAAGGAUAUAUUGCAAAAAUGAAAUGUAACUGAUUUUAAGGAAAUAAAAUGAAACUUAUAUUUUAGAAUACUAGCAAUUUCUCCUAGAAUCUGAGAAAUUAUGUA